GUGUGUGUGUGUGUGUGGUGUGUAGUCCUGAGAUAGGAGACCUGAGGAAAUUCUGUGAGAAGCACCUGGUUUACUGACUGUUGGGUGAUUUCACUAAUUCUAUCUUAAGGAACCUGAAGAGUCAGGGAACAAUCGUUAUGAGAAGGAGGGAGGAGCCAGGGACCCAUGAGAGACCAAAAGGAGAGCCCUGCACUGGAGCUGGGCCCUGGAGGCCUCAGUCUGUGAGCCAGUUCAUCUAAGCUUUGGCUCAUGUAGCAGCAACAUUCUUCAUUGAGAAAGAGGCGGAUGCCUCCCCUUUCAGCAGUUAGCAAGCCUGGGUUCUUUGGUUUUUCGGGACCACCAAUGCCAGGGAUGUGAGCUGGUUUUGGAGCAGUUGCAGGGCUAAGGUUGAGUUUUGGAUGGUGUCUGCUAGCUGGGUGGAAAUCUGCUGUGAUUCUUACAGACUUUGACAAAUCUGACCACACCUGUGGCAACUGCUGAGGCUACCAAAGUGUCUCCAAUCAUGACCGGAAGAGCCACGUCAGUUCCUGUGCAUGAGUUGGAGGAGGGGGUAGAACUCUCCUUCGGUGUGUAGGGCUGGGGAAGCAACAAACAGGGAAACAAGGACCAUGAGUGGAUUUGCCCAUCUGCUUAGUUGACACCAGAUGAGAUGUUAGUAUGUGCUGACGAAGGGCUGGGAAGGAAGUUAAAGAGGCAGCCGGCUGGUGUCUCCAGAGAGUAGAGAGAUGGGGGUGGGUGAGAGAGAGGAAAUGAUUUGGAGAUUACACAGCUUGGAGGCUAGGGUUAUGUGGGUAAGAGGAAUAGCUCCCUUGAGGGACUGUUGCAGAGGAACACGAAGGAAGCAAGAGGACCCAUUGUUACUGCCACAGGCGUGGAGAAGACCCGGGGAUUCAUUUAGAAUAAUAGUCUUCCAGAAGGCCAGCUUGGGAGAGGUCUCAUGCAGCAUGGAUGUAGCAGAAAAGCCGUUCUCCCCCUACGGCCUGCCCCGAGCCCUCUGUCCUCAAGCAUUGCACAUGUGUUGAGAAAGGCCCACUGUGUGUCAGGGAAAGAGGUAAAAAAAAGUUCCAGAGCCAGAGGAGAAGCCAGGAGCCCCCAUGACGGCCUGGUCAACCCAGCCAUUGAAUGAUGAAGAUUUGUGAGGAUGAGGACUCUGGGAGCAGAGUUUGCUGCCUGCUCUGGUGCCCCUGUCCAGCCUCCUGCGUGUAAUUUCCCCUGGAUCCUCAGGUUUUUGUCCCUGUGUUUGCAGCGAGUUAAGUGCCCCAGACAUUGGAUUUGUAGCCGUUGCAGCUCUGCGGGGAUAGAGCAUCCUCCUAAUUACAAGGUUCUUCUGAAGCAGUAUGUUACCUUAGCGCCAGCAGCUCGCACGUCUCACAUGCGACUCCCCCCACGUCACUGGAACUCUUCCAAGAGCCACAUGGAGUGGCUGGCCCAUUGAAUGGACUGUUCUUUUCUGCAACCCCAUUUGGUUUCAUAGCAGUGUUUCUUCUUUCUUUCCCCUUGGAACCUUGGGAAAUCCCCCCAAAGAUGAGAGCCCAUGAGCUCUCAUCUCAUUGGCUGGCACAGACUGGCCAAGAGUGCUCAUCAGUGAAGGUUGAGCAUACAUGUUCAGUCAUCGCGCGUUGAUUGAGUGCUGUAUGUGCAUGGAUGCAAAGGUGAGCCUCUGAAGGACUGCAGAGACCAGUGAAUGAAUAAACAAAUCCGUGACUUCAAGACUCGUCUUCACUCCCGGAUGCGGUGAGGGCCCAGGGACUAUCUCUACCCAUCAGAGACAAAGGGACACCACGUCCAGGCACGGCGCCCUCUUGUCUCUGAAUCUCACUCUCCCCACAUGGAAGAUGGGGCCAGCGAUUACCAACUUCCUGGGCCAUGGGGGGUUCAUCGUGGAGCUGGUGAACCCCCUUCAUACUCUCAUCUCUCCUAGGGCUGUUCAUGAGGUCAUUUGUAGUUUGCAGACACUACGGAGUCAGGCUGUUUUCUUGUAAAGAACGCUCCUGCGAUGGCUAAUCUUCAUUGUCAACCCCACAGAAUGGAAAAUCACCCGGGUACAUCCAUGUCUGCGCCAAUGAGGCUGUUUCCAGAGAAUUUAACUGAGGAGGGACAACCUGCCCUGAACAUGGGUGACACUGUUAUUCUUUUGUUUAAAAAGAAGAAAAGAGAAAUAUUGAGAUGGACAUAUUGACUAUAAGUUUAUUAUAAGGACCGGCAGAAUGGGGAGACUAAGAGGAGGA